CCUACGUGAGGCAGCAGUGAGAAAUAUUGGUCAAUGGGCGCGAGCCUGAACCAGCCAAGUAGCGUGAAGGAUGACUGCCCUACGGGUUGUAAACUUCUUUUAUAAAGGAAUAAAGUGAGGCACGUGUGCCUUUUUGUAUGUACUUUAUGAAUAAGGAUCGGCUAACUCCGUGCCAGCAGCCGCGGUAAUACGGAGGAUCCGAGCGUUAUCCGGAUUUAUUGGGUUUAAAGGGUGCGUAGGCGGUCAGGUAAGUUAGAGGUGAAAGCUCGAUGCUCAACAUCGAAACUGCCUCUGAUACUGUCUGACUAGAGUGUAGUUGCGGAAGGCGGAAUGUGUGGUGUAGCGGUGAAAUGCUUAGAUAUCACACAGAACACCGAUUGCGAAGGCAGCUUUUCAAGCUAUUACUGACGCUGAGGCACGAAAGCGUGGGGAGCGAACAGGAUUAGAUACCCCGGUAGUC
rnacentral:rRNA from 1 species